rnacentral:tRNA from 1 species
GCAUGCCCCCAUCGUUUAGCGGUUUAGGACAUCUCUCUUUCAAGGAGGCAGCGGGGAUUCGACUUCCCCUGGGGGUA